UGAAAAGAAUUCGUACACCCGGUAAGUCGAAAACCCGCAAGGGCGGCUUAGGCAAAAAUGGGUAUCCCGGUGGAUUGAAAACCCGAAAGGGCGAUCCAUGCAAAAGAGGGAUUAGAGCGAAGACUACAGUCUGAGUUAUCUGUACUUCAUCGCGCUUUGUCGUCUGCCAUCUCGAAAGAUGUGAUCGGCCCAGUCAUUCUUCUCAGAAAGCAAGGAAGUUGG
rnacentral:lncRNA from 1 species